rnacentral:rRNA from 1 species
GACGAACGCUGGCGGCGUGCUUAACACAUGCAAGUCGAGCGGAAAGGCCACUUCGGUGGUACUCGAGCGGCGAACGGGUGAGUAACACGUGAGUAAUCUGCCCCUGGCUUUGGGAUAGCCACCGGAAACGGUGAUUAAUACUGGAUACGACCUACGAAGGCAUCUUCUGUAGGUGGAAAGAAUUGCGGUUCGGGAUGGACUCGCGGCCUAUCAGCUUGUUGGUGAGGUAAUGGCACACGAAGGCGACGACGGGUAGCCGGCCUGAGAGGGUGACCGGCCACACUGGGACUGAGACACGGCCCAGACGCCUACGGGAGGCAGCAGUGGGGAAUAUUGCACAAUGGGCGCAAGCCUGAUGCAGCAACGCCGCGUGAGGGAUGACGGCCUUCGGGUUGUAAACCUCUUUUAGUAGGGAAGAAGCGAAAGUGACGGUACCUGCAGAAAAAGCACCGGCUAACUACGUGCCAGCCGCCGCCGUAACAC